rnacentral:rRNA from 1 species
AUUGAACGCUGGCGGCAGGCCUAACACAUGCAAGUCGGACGGUAGCACAGAGGAGCUUGCUCCUCGGGUGACGAGUGGCGGACGGGUGAGUAAUGUCUGGGGAUCUGCCCGAUAGAGGGGGAUAACCACUGGAAACGGUGGCUAAUACCGCGUAACGUCGCAAGACCAAAGAGGGGGACCUUCGGGCCUCUCACUAUCGGAUGAACCCAGAUGGGAUUAGCUAGUAGGCGGGGUAAUGGCCCACCUAGGCGACGAUCCCUAGCUGGUCUGAGAGGAUGACCAGCCAGACUGGAACUGAGACACGGUCCAGACUCCUACGGGAGGCAGGAGUGGGGAAUAUUGCACAAUGGGCGCAAGCCUGAUGCAGCCAUGCCGCGUGUAUGAAGAAGGCCUUCGGGUUGUAAAGUACUUUCAGCGGGGAGGAAGGCGAUAAGGUUAAUAACCUUGUCGAUUGACGUUACCCGCAGAAGAAGCACCGGCUAACUCCGUGCCAGCCGCCGCAGUAA